rnacentral:rRNA from 1 species
GACGAACGCUGGCGGCGUGCUUAACACAUGCAAGUCGAGCGGUAAGGCCCUUUCGGGGUACGACGAGCGGCGAACGGGUGAGUAACACGUGGGUGACCUGCCCUCCAGCUCUGGGAUAAGCCUGGGAAACCGGGGUCUAAUACCGGAUAUGACUCCAUGACGCAUGUUGUGGGGUGGAAAGCCUUGUGCGGCUGAGGAUGGGCCCGCGGCCUAUCAGCUUGUUGGUGGGGUGAUGGCCUACCAAGGCGACGACGGGUAGCCGGCCUGAGAGGGCGACCGGCCACACUGGGACUGAGACACGGCCCAGACUCCUACGGGAGGCAGCAGUGGGGAAUCUUGCGCAAUGGGCGAAAGCCUGACGCAGCGACGCCGCGUGAGGGAUGACGGCCUGGUGUAAC